UACGUAGGUGACAAGCGUUGUCCGGAUUUACUGGGCGUAAAGAGCGCGCAGGCGGUCGAUCAAGUCGAGUGUGAAAGCCCCCGGCUCAACUGGGGAGGGUCAUUCGAUACUGAUCGACUAGAAGGCAGGAGAGGGUAGUGGAAUUCCCGGUGUAGUGGUGAAAUGCGUAGAUAUCGGGAGGAACACCAGUGGCGAAGGCGACUACCUGGCCUGUUCAUGACGCUGAGGCGCGAAAGCUAGGGGAGCAAACAGG
rnacentral:rRNA from 1 species